rnacentral:lncRNA from 1 species
CAGGCGUCUAGGCAGCCGUCCACAGAGAUGCGGGUCCUCCGCGGAGCCUAGAGAGGACGCGGAAGUGGGCUGGGGGCGGGGUCCGAGGCCCCUGCAGACUCCGCGUCCGCCGGCUGGGUGCGGCCCCGCGGCUGCCAGAGAGUCGGUCGGAAGCGAGCGCUGGAGGGGCGAUGCCGUGCACUUUGCCCCUCUGUCCUUCCGUUUCCCUCGCCGAGCCAUGCCCCUGGCGGCCGAGGAGAGUGGGCGCGGGUCCCGAAUCCCCCGGCGGGGUCGACGCCGCUGUGCAUCGCCGGGUGCCCGGGGUCGUUGGGGCCCCGCCACCCUCGGUCCCCGCGCCCUCCUCUUCUCAGGCCGUCCGUCCCGCGCUGCUCAAGUUUCCAGCCCUGCUCCUCUUGUAGGAGCAGGGGUGGGAUGACCCCGGGCCAGAGUGGACAAACCUCCUGUUCCUGGAGCCGGUGCCCUGUGAGGAUGCGGACGUGGGCUUCAGAUAAGAGUGGAGGCGCCUGUCCGCCCUGGGAAAGCUCUGCGCGGACGUGAUGCCGAAGAUUUCUGGAAACGUCGUCGCACUGAGGUCCUGAGUGCCUGUCACCAUCAUCCCUGUGGACUGACACAUGAACAUCUUACGUGGCUGUCCAUGGACACAUACAUCUUGUCAUCUGUUCCUCCGUGACUUACGUCUCAUUGUCUUGUGUGCGGAGAAUCCAUAUCUUUGUAACAGCUCCGUAUUUGGUUGACAGCACGUGUCUUAACGUC